CUCUUUCCUCCUGUUUUCUCUGUAUUGUCUGUUGGAUCAGUCUUUCUUGUGGUUCUACUGGUGUUACUGGUUCUGCUGGUGAGACAAGAUGUUGAGAGGAAAGUUGAAGAGACUGAUACAGCUGUGGUCUACUCAGCAGUAAGAGCUGAAGACAUCAGGAAUGGACAAACAACCAUCAGAACAAGGCCAUCCAGGUCUUGCUGCCUUUUAACAGAAACAAGACUUUAAACCAGAGCCAGACGUCGUCUACUCUUCACUGAAGUAGUCCACCAGUCCAACCACUGACGUCCAGCUGCUGGUUUCUAACUGGUCCCCCCAGCACCUCAGACCACAGGACAUGUUUGAAGAUUUCUUCAUAUUUUUCAUAUUUUUUAUGUUGUUUUUUUCACUUUCUAGACCAAAAUGACUCAAAUGCAAAAUUUUGUUAUGUUACUAUGUCCCAUGUCCUCGGUAACUGGUUGGAAUUGUUGUAGUUCAUUCAUGAUUGUUGGCUCUUGUUUCCCGUCAGUGAUCUGUUUUCACUGGUUUUCUUCAUGUGCUUCUGUGGGUUUCAAAAAACUGUCACAUGGAAAAUCUGACUAGUGUGAUUGUUGCUAACACACACACACAGCUUUAAUGCAGAAAGCAAAGAAUAAACGUUAAACUACAACCACAGACUGAACACAGCAGAAGCAUCAUUCAGUGGCCGCA